rnacentral:rRNA from 1 species
AUAACUUCGGGAAACCGGAGCUAAUACCGGAUAAUAUUCGAACCGCAUGGUUCGAUAGUGAAAGAUGGUUUUUGCUAUCACUUAUAGAUGGACCCGCGCCGUAUUAGCUAGUUGGUAAGGUAACGGCUUACCAAGGCGACGAUACGUAGCCGACCUGAGAGGGUGAUCGGCCACACUUGAACUGAGACACGGUCCAGACUCCUACGGGAGGCAGCAGCA